AGGUAAGCAGUGCUUAAUAUCAUAUCUUCACCUUUUAGGGUGUUGAUUCACUAAAACUCUUCACUCCAGGAGGAAUGUUACUGCCUUUACAUUGAAUUAGAUGCAUAGACAAGUGAAUAAUAUAAACUUGUAAAGCAUAAAAGCUUUAAACUAUCUAGCUACAUUAAACAGUAGAUACACAAUUAAUACAACAACAAUGCAAAUUAGACCACAUUCUACAAAUAUCUACUACUCAAGACUCAUAACACAAAAUUUAUUUUAGAGCUGAGCUUUCAAUAACAAUAAAAAUCCUCUCAACUUAAACAGCAGGAUACCACAAUUUCCACAACCCAAUCUUACCUCGACCUUAUUAGCAGGCCCCAAAAAAAAUCUUUCAAUUAUGGACCUGAAAAAUACCAGAAUUUCCACAACCCAAUCUUACCUCGACCUUAUUAGCAAGCCCCAAAAAAAUCUUUCAAUUAUGGACCUGAAUGACAUUCUGAGUCAUAAAUGUCCAAAGGUCAGUC
rnacentral:lncRNA from 1 species